ensembl:snoRNA
GCAGUAACUCCAGAACACUCUGUUCCUUUUAUCAGUGGUUUACAUAGCCAGACAUGAUGCAAAAAAGCAAGCAGUCUUCCCUUUAAAGUGGUUAUAAUCAUAUGCUAAGUUUUUUUCACAGCAUGUCAUUAUUAAAGGGAAAUGCAAAG